rnacentral:rRNA from 1 species
GGCUUAGAGUUUGAUCCUGGCUCAGGACGAACGCUGGCGGCGUGCUUAACACAUGCAAGUCGAGCGGAAAGGCCUCUUCGGGGGUACUCGAGCGGCGAACGGGUGAGUAACACGUGAGUAAUCUGCCCUUCACUUUGGGAUAACUACCGGAAACGGUGGCUAAUACCGGAUACGACAUAGGUACGCAUGUGCUCUGUGUGGAAAGUUUUUUCGGUGGGGGAUGUGCUCGCGGCCUAUCAGCUUGUUGGUGGGGUAAUGGCCUACCAAGGCUUCGACGGGUAGCCGGCCUGAGAGGGUGACCGGCCACACUGGGACUGAGACACGGCCCAGACUCCUACGGGAGGCAGCAGUGGGGAAUAUUGGACAAUGGGCGGAAGCCUGAUCCAGCAACGCCGCGUGAGGGAUGACGGCCUUCGGGUUGUAAACCUCUUUCAGUACCGACGAAGCGCCGAUGAUGGUGGUGAAAGGUAGGUACAGA